CUUCUAUGAAAGACUUCAGUAGAGGAACAAAACUUGUUGUCACAGACAAAACCUUUUACACGGACAUCUCCCCCAAGCCCACGACGUUUCUUCCUUCAGUUGCUGAGACAAACCUCCAUGACGCUGGAACGUAUCUUUGUCUUCUUGAGAAAUUUUUCCCCGAUGUGAUUUAUGUACAGUGGAAAGAAAAGAAUGGCAGCAGAAUUCUAGAGUCCCAGCAGGGAAAAACUGUGAUGACUGAUAACACGUACAUGAAAUUGAGCUGGCUGACUGUGAGCGGAAGUUCCCUGAAUAAAGAACACCAGUGCAUCGUCAAACACGAGAACAAUAAAGGAGGUGUUGACCAAGAGAUUCUCUUUCCUCCAAUAAGGAAAGCUAUUCUGCCUGUUGACCCUAAGGAAGCUUCUUCAGCAGACCAAGCACAACUAAGGAGGCAACGUCUCUGGGAGGCACUGCGGCUGCAGCUCAUCAACGCCUCCGCAUACCACACGUACCUCCUCCUGCUCCUCAAGAGUGUGGUCUACUUUUCCAUCAUCACCUUCUGUCUGUUUAGAAGAGCAGCUGUCUGUGGCACUGGAAAUAGUGUGUCAUAGACAGAGGCAAAAGCAGGUCAUCUCUUCAUGGUCUAUUGUUCUUGAAAGUGUCCACUGAAGAUCUAGCUGGACUUUCUGCCUCCAUUGGGCUCUUCCAGUUUCCAUGUGCACUAUUCUCUCAUGUAGUUAUAGCAUAGUGGUCUUCCUAACAGGGGGCAAACUGAGGAGAUCUCUCUGUAACAAUAAGAAGGAGCGGCCCACGGCAGCCUGACACCACUCUCUGCGUCCCCUUCAUCAGCUCUGUUGGCCCAGCCACGUGGUCGCAGCCCUAGUUCAGACUGCACACUGCUGCUAGUCACGUCCCUCAGGGCCCUUUAACCAGGUAACUCCCAGGAAGCCUUCUGUUUAACAAAUACUGAAGCGCCAUCUUUGCUACUUAAAUGCCAAGCUUUGCUUUUUUUUAUUUUAAAAUUUUUU